UUUUUUAAAGACAGCAUAGUGGCUUGAUAAGCCACUGGAAAAAUGGGAGCACGAAUACAACACCAACUGAGUUAAUUCUGUCAUGCCCAUCCUCCUGCUUCUGCAGCAAGGUGAACAACGGCAAAUGGCUAAGUCUGAAAUGUCAGGCGGAGGUGUUCUGUACCAGCACGCGUGACCUCGAAUGGUGGGUGUGGUCUGAAGAGGGUGGAGAUGGUGGGGUGCGGUGGGUGGCAGACGACUCACCUGCCCCUGGUCCCUCUCCUGCCCUCAUGCAGACUCGCUCUCGUCAUAGAGGCGCUUUCUGCAAACGUGGCGAGGGGAGCACAGGGCACAGCACAGUUUCUAAGAUGCUGAACUUCCAAGCUGCUCGCCACUGGUGGAGAACCUGAGGCCAGGGCCCUGUCUCCCAGCACCACCCGCAGCGGACCACACCACGCGGAAGCCUGAUUUAUCCCGGCAGCCCCACUUCCGGGUGUGCUGGGCCUUUUCCAGGCUCUCCUGCCGGCGGCCCGGGGAGGGUUUCAGUCUGCGUGCCCGGAACUGGAGCUGGGUGUGAAUCGUGAGGCGCCUGACACCUAGAAGGCACUGGGCUGAGGAGAGGAGGAGGAAAGAAAGUGGAGGCCAGGCGGCCGGGACGGGACGCGGUCUCUCCUGGGACCUCUGCCGCCCAGGCGCCUCGGGCCACAGGGCAACCUCGCUGCUUUCCCCGUGCUGUUGCAGGACGAUCGCGUGCACAAGGAGGCGCCCUCGGCCGCCCGGGAACCCCAGGGCAGCCCGGGCCGCGGCGCCUCCGCAGUCUCCGUGUGCACUGGGGCUGCGGCCAGCAAGCGGCGGCGAACGUCCCGUGAGAACGGAAGAUGCUCGGUCGGGUUGGACCCGGCCUGGGCGCGAUGCCCCGGUUCCCUUCUGCCGCCACCGCCCCCCAACCCCGCCGCCGCCUGCGCGGCCUCGCCCGCCUCGCGGUCGCCAUGGCAACCUCCGCGUGCCGAGCUUUCUCCCGGUGUGAUCAGGCCCGGAACCGUCUGGAACCCGCAGUGCUGUACGUGAGGAUUUAAGGACAGAGCAGCUCGACCCAGCUUUGAGGCGGGCGGUGAGUGGCAGGGGCUGGAGAGGACUGAAAACGCCGGCCGGGCGAGGGUCUCGUCCGGGCUGCUCAGCUCCAGCAGGGAAGCAGCGCCCUAGGGGGAGCGGAGGGUCUCCAGCGAGCGGGUCAGAAAACACAGGACUCUCCCCCUGGAGUAGUAAGCGUGUAAAGUUAAGCUUGUUCCCUUCAAAAAACAGGACCGUUUCCUGCCGGAAGGAAACGCUGCUGGCCGUCGGAUCUGGGUUCCCCGCCACCCUGCUGACUCCUUCGGCCUCGGGGGCUGUGGGGCUGCAAGCUCUCAGCCGGCCCGGCCCACGUCCUGCUAGCUGCGUCCUGGCUUCCCGCAGUCUCCAAACGUGAGUUUCCUCAUCUAUAAGAAUAUGUCAAGCAUCACAUGAAUUGAUCCAGUUGCCUCUUAAUAUCGGUGGCGGAUGAAUUCCAGAACUCCUAAUACCGAGCCCUGUGGACACCAAGUCCCUUUAAUAAGAUGGCAUAGCACUUACAUAUAACGUACAUAAUCCCCCCUAUACUUCAAAUCGCCUCUGGAUUACCUAUAAUAUCUAACACAGUGUAAAUGCUAUUAAAUACUUGUUAUAUUGUUUAAGGAAUAAUGACAAGAAAAUUUUUUUCACAUGUUCAGUAAAGAUGUAACUUUAAAAAUAUUUUAUUUACUCUUUGUUUGAAACCAUGGAUAUAGAACCCGCAGAUACAGUGCUUGCUAAGGUCUUAAAACAUACCUGGUACCUAGAAAAUGCUUAAUAAAUUAGUUAUUAUCACUUUUAUUGAAAACAAAUUAUUCACAUUUCUAUGCAACUCUCAUCUAAAUUUGUAGCUAC
rnacentral:lncRNA from 1 species